rnacentral:lncRNA from 1 species
GUUUACCACGGUUCAAGUUGGGUUUCUGCAGGAUGCUAUGAGAAACAAACCAGAAGCUUCUGUGACCUUUAUUUUACUUGUGUAAUCCUGGGAGCGCUUCCAUUCUGUAUAAGUUUUGGCUGGAGAAAGUCAAUUGCUGUAACCAGUCUCUGGAAUGAGUUUAUUAAUAUUUACAGGCAGAGAGGACUUCCUUAUGAUGGCUGGCAUUAGCGCAUGGUGAUUUGAGAAUAAAGCAUGGGAUACUGCAUGUUCUGAGUGAGUG